UGAACGCUGGCGGCGUGCUUACACAUGCAAGUCGAACGAGAAAUCUUUAGCUUGCUAGAGAAAGUAAAGUGGCGCACGGGUGAGUAACGCGUGGGUAAUCUGCCUCCGAAUCGGGGAUAACAUUGCGAAAGCGAUGCUAAUACCGGAUAAAAUCUGGUUGGCUUAGGUGAACCGGAUCAAAGGUGGUCUCUUUAUAAAAGCUACCGUUUGGAGAUGAGCUCGCGUACCAUUAGCUAGUUGGUGAGGUAAAGGCUCACCAAGGCGACGAUGGUUAGCUGGUCUGAGAGGAUGAUCAGCCACACCGGAACUGGAACACGGUCCGGACUCCUACGGGAGGCAGCAGUGAGGAAUUUUGCGCAAUGGGGGAAACCCUGACGCAGCAACGCCGCGUGAGUGAUGAAGGCUUUCGGGUCGUAAAGCUCUGUCAGGUGGGAAGAACCCACCAAGUGUUAAGACCACUUGGUGCUGACGGUACCACCGAAGGAAGCACCGGCUAACUCCGUGCCAGCAGCCGCGGUAAUACGGGGGGUGCGAGCGUUAUUCGGAAUCAUUGGGCGUAAAGGGCGCGCAGGCGGUUUUGUAAGUCAGAUGUGAAAUCCCGGGGCUUAACCCCGGAAGUGCAUAUGAAACUAUGAGACUUGAGUAUGGGAGAGGGAAGCGGAAUUCCUGGUGUAGCGGUGAAAUGCGUAGAUAUCAGGAGGAACACCGGUGGCGAAGGCGGCUUCCUGGACCAAUACUGACGCUGAGGCGCGAAGGCGUGGGGAGCGAACAGGAUUAGAUACCCUGGUAGUCCACGCAGUAAACGUUGAUCACUAGGUGUAGCGGGUAUUGACCCCUGCUGUGCCGGAGUUAACGCAUUAAGUGAUCCGCCUGGGGAGUACGAUCGCAAGAUUAAAACUCAAAGGAAUUGACGGGGGCCCGCACAAGCGGUGGAGCAUGUGGUUUAAUUCGACGCAACGCGAAGAACCUUACCUGGACUUGACAUCUCGGGAAUUCCGUUGAAAGACGGGAGUGCCUUUAACGAGGAAUCCGAUGACAGGUGCUGCAUGGCUGUCGUCAGCUCGUGCCGUGAGGUGUCGGGUUAAGUCCCAUAACGAGCGCAACCCUUAUCGUUAGUUGCUAGCAGGUAAAGCUGAGGACUCUAGCGAGACUGCCACCGUAAGGUGAGAGGAAGGUGGGGAUGACGUCAAAUCAGCACGGCCCUUAUGUCCAGGGCUACACACGUGUUACAAUGGCCGGUACAGAGGGAAGCUACCUGGUGACAGGUUGCCAAUCUUAAAAGCCGGUCUCAGUUCGGAUUGGAGUCUGCAACCCGACUCCAUGAAGUUGGAUUCGCUAGUAAUCGCGCAUCAGCCAUGGCACGGUGAAUACGUUCCCGGGCAUGUACACACCGCCCGUCAAACCAUGGAGCUGGGGUGCCUAAG
rnacentral:rRNA from 1 species